AAUGCUGGACGUUUUCUGUCUCAGGAAAGCCAUAAAAAAGCAGUGAAGAGCAACAGAAACUCUACCACGACAAAUAUAGCAUCAACCACUCCAUCAAGCAGGAGGCUUGAAGAGCAGAUUGGUCAACUCCAUCAUCACAGUAAGUACUUUACAAGUGCACUUAAAUUCAGAGAGCAACUACCAUUGAAUUCAAUGAUACUCCAGAAAGCCACAGGAAAAGGAUGCCCACCUCUGAGAAAACAGUAUUAUUGGCAAAUAUCUAAUGAGUUCAUAUGUGUUUGCUUACACCACAGGAGAUCAUAUUGCUCAUCAGCAAACCCUUAGCCAUUGAAUGUUUGACUCUGUUCAGCUCAGAGAUGCAAGUAAUUUCUCACUGAAAGCUUUAAUUUUUCUUGCAGAAGCAUAAUCAAAAGAGAUAUAGAGCUCUACAGCUGAAGGAACUGCAGGAAAGACAUGAAAUUCAGACUCACAGAGAAGCACUGACUCCCCAGGGAGGUGACUCCUGUAGUAGUAACAAGUCUCAGCCUACAGUCGUCAUCUGUUUCUCCU
rnacentral:lncRNA from 1 species